UGUUAUAUAUAUUUAGAAACUCCUGUAACCUCAGUCUAGGGUGGAUAGGAGAACGCACUCCAAGGAUCUUUGCCCAUCUGCCAUGAGCAGCAUCACAAGCUGCAAAAACGGCUUCUGCAUUUUCUCUCAAUACAUCAGCUCUGAAAUUUCUCGAUAAAGUCGAUGACGUUAUACCCUCAUUUCCAUUCCCGUGAGCAGAAGAGACCUUGGAAGAGUUCCUUUGCACAGAAAGUUGCAGCGAGGAAUUUACCUGAUCGACGGUUUCAUGAGCUGUUUCUGAUGCCGCUGCUCCAAGUGCAAUUGCAGCAGCAACUGAGUCAGCAGCAUAAUGGCCAUCAAGAUGGCACAAAAUCCACUCAAUGGCUCUCUUAACUUCAGAUGCCUGUGCUAAGUGUGCCUGCACUAUCAGGAAAACAGCCUUCAAAAGAUGAACAAAACAUUCAGGCGACAAGCUUCUCAAUCUACUGGCAAGGGAUGAGCUUCCACCAUCAGCAUCAACUGCUCGUUCUCCUGCAACAAAAUCUGAAUCCAUAGGUUGGGCACCAAGCACCCGUAGCAGUUCUUCAACUGCCAUCUUAAUGGCAGUUUUCAUGUCAGCCGUAAGAGUGUCAUGGUAUAUUCUCAAUACAGCAGGAAGUUUUGCGGUUCUAAGCAACCCAAUAACAA
rnacentral:misc_RNA from 1 species